GUCAGUGGCCAGGAAGCAGUCACUUUUUGAAGCGAUAACUUUAAAUUCUGGCCUUAUUCGACCUUAUUUUAAAUGCAUUUCACCCUAGGACGCUGAGAAGCUGCAUGGGUCCUUCCAAGGAUCCGACCAAUAUUUGGUGAUUCUGGAGAAAGCUGUGUAGGGAAGUCUGACUGCUAGUUUAAACCUUUGUGUUGCCACAGCCAAGCACAGCGCUGAGAUCAGAGGGGCUUCAUAAAUAUUUGUUGAAGACAGGAAGGAAAGGAAGGAGAAAAUGGGCCAGAUUUACACAUCUGAAACAUGUCUAGAAUCCAGAAUUAUGUGUCAGGAAGAGACAGAAAAAGCCACAGCCGAGCGCCCAGCUGUGGAAUGGAAGUUGUCAGAAAAGGGCUUAUGACUAGGGACCCAUUCACCAGCAGAUCUGGAUGACGGACUCUUCCGUCAUAAAGAAAGGCUGAGAUGCACGAUGAAAAAUCCAGUUCUUGGAAGCACAGGAGAAACAAGGAAUACCUCCUGCCUCCGUGGAACUGGAGAAGUAAUCGGGACCUUAACCACCCAGACACGGGAAGAUGGAGAGACCGGGGUCCUGGGAUGCAGAGGCAUUGAGAGUCUCCCUCUGUUGCCCGGGCUGGAGUGCCGUGGCAUGAUCUCGGCUCACUGCAACCUGCACCUCCCGGGUUCAAGCCGUUCUCCUGCCUCAGCCUCCAGAGUAGCUGGGAUUACAGGCGCC
rnacentral:lncRNA from 1 species